rnacentral:tRNA from 1 species
GCCUGGCUAGCUCAGCUGAUAGAGCAUGAGACUUUUAAUCUCAGGGUCAUGGUUUUAUGCCCCAUGCUGGGUG